UAGGGAAUCUUCGGCAAUGGGGGGAACCCUGACCGAGCAACGCCGCGUGAGUGAAGAAGGUUUUCGGAUCGUAAAGCUCUGUUGUUAAGGAAGAACGAGUGUGAGACUGGAAAGUUCAUGCUGUGACGGUACUUAACCAGAAAGGGACGGCUAACUACGUGCCAGCAGCCGCGGUAAUACGUAGGUCCCGAGCGUUGUCCGGAUUUAUUGGGCGUAAAGCGAGCGCAGGCGGUUAGAAAAGUCUGAAGUGAAAGGCAGUGGCUCAACCAUUGUAGGCUUUGGAAACUGUUUAUCUUUAGUGCAGAAGGGGGGAGUGGAAUUCCAUGUGUAGCAGUGAAAUUCGUAGAUCUAUGGAGGAACACCGGUGGCGAAAGCGCCUCUCUGGUCUGUAACUGACGCUGAGGCUCGAAAGCGUGGGGAGCGAACAGG
rnacentral:rRNA from 1 species